GACGAACGCUGGCGGCGUGCCUAAUACAUGCAAGUUGAGCGCUGAAGGUUGGUACUUGUACCAACUGGAUGAGCAGCGAACGGGUGAGUAACGCGUGGGGAAUCUGCCUUUGAGCGGGGGACAACAUUUGGAAACGAAUGCUAAUACCGCAUAAAAACUUUAAACACAAGUUUUAAGUUUGAAAGAUGCAAUUGCAUCACUCAAAGAUGAUCCCGCGUUGUAUUAGCUAGUUGGUGAGGUAAAGGCUCACCAAGGCGAUGAUACAUAGCCGACCUGAGAGGGUGAUCGGCCACAUUGGGACUGAGACACGGCCCAAACUCCUACGGGAGGCAGCAGUAGGGAAUCUUCGGCAAUGGACGAAAGUCUGACCGAGCAACGCCGCGUGAGUGAAGAAGGUUCUCGGAUCGUAAAACUCUGUCGGUAGAGAAGAACGUUGGUGAGAGUGGAAAGCUCAUCAAGUGACGGUAACUACCCAGAAAGGGACGGCUAACUACGUG
rnacentral:rRNA from 1 species